rnacentral:rRNA from 1 species
GGAUGAGCCCGCGGCCUAUCAGCUUGUUGGUGGGGUAGUGGCCUACCAAGGCGACGACGGGUAGCCGGCCUGAGAGGGUGACCGGCCACACUGGGACUGAGACACGGCCCAGACUCCUACGGGAGGCAGCAGUGGGGAAUAUUGCGCAAUGGGCGAAAGCCUGACGCAGCGACGCCGCGUGGGGGAUGACGGCCUUCGGGUUGUAAACCUCUUUCAGCAGGGAAGAAGCGAAAGUGACGGUACCUGCAGAAGAAGCGCCGGCUAACUACGUGCCAGCAGCCGCGGUAAUACGUAGGGCGCAAGCGUUGUCCGGAAUUAUUGGGCGUAAAGAGCUCGUAGGCGGCUUGUCACGUCGGGUGUGAAAGCCCGGGGCUUAACCCCGGGUCUGCAUUCGAUACGGGCUAGCUAGAGUGUGGUAGGGGAGAUCGGAAUUCCUGGUGUAGGGGUGAAAUGCGCAGAUAUCAGGAGGAACACCGGUGGCGAAGGCGGGUCUCUGGGCCGAUACUGACGCUGAGGAGCGAAAGCGUGGGGAGCGAACAGGAUUAGAUACCCUGGUAGUCCACGCCGUAAACGGUGGGCGCUAGGUGUGGGGGCCAUUCCACGGUCUCUGUGCCGCAGCUAACGCAUUAAGCGCCCCGCCUGGGGAGUACGGCCGCAAGGCUAAAACUCAAAGAAAUUGACGGGGGCCCGUACAAGCGGCGGAGCAUGUGGAUUAAUUCGAUGCAACGCGAAGAACCUUAC